rnacentral:rRNA from 1 species
AUUGAACGCUGGCGGCCGGCCUAACACAUGCAAGUCGAGCGAGCGGCGGACUGGUGAGUAAUGUAUGGGGACUGCCCGAUAGAGGGGGAUAACUACUUUAUACGUUAGCUAAUACCGCAUACUCUCGGAUAACCCAUAUGGGAUUAGCUAGUAGGUGUGGUAAUGGCUCACCUAGGCGACGAUCCCUAGCUGGUCUGAGAGGUUGAUCAGCAGCAAUGGGACUGGGACACGGCCCAGACGCCUACGGAGGCAGCAGUGGGGAAUAGUGCACAAUGGGCGCAAGCCUAAUGCAGCGAUGCCGCGUGUAUGAAGAAGGCCGUAGGGAUGUAGAGUACGGUCAGUCGGGAGGCGUUACCGACAGAAGAAGCACCGGAUAACUCCGUGCCAGCCGCCGCGGUAAUUC